rnacentral:rRNA from 1 species
UACGUAGGGGGCAAGCGUUGUCCGGAUUUAUUGGGCGUAAAGAGCGUGUAGGCGGCCAGGUAGGUCCGUUGUGAAAACUCGAGGCUCAACCUCGAGACGUCGAUGGAAACCAUCUGGCUAGAGUCCGGAAGAGGAGAGUGGAAUUCCUGGUGUAGCGGUGAAAUACGCAGAUAUCAGGAAGAACACCCGUGGCGAAGGCGGCUCUCUGGGACGGUACUGACGCUGAGACGCGAAAGCGUGGGGAGCGAACAGG